AAGUCGUAACAAGGUUUCCGUAGGUGAACCUGCGGAAGGAUCAUUAAUACGUACUUUCACGUAUCACUCAAUCGUGGACUUGUCCCGCUUUUUGUGGAGAGUUGGAGGCGAAAUUUGUGGUCAUAUUUUAACCAGCGUGGGGGAGAAUUUGGCUUCACGGCCACUUUCUCUUUGACCUGUUCGCCGAGGGUUAAUAAAUCGAAGCGACUUUUUGAUUGGAAAGACAAGUGCAGCUUGUUCUGUAUGCAUCUUCUGGUCAAUUUCGGUUGUUCUCGAUUCGACUCUUUACAAAGCGUUUUUUUCUAAUCCAUGCUGGGAUCAAUUAUUUUACCCCAAGUACUAUUAUCAAGAACUAAUUGUGUUUUUUUGCUUCAUUGCGAAAAAACGCCAAAUACCGAAACUUAAGAACAACUCUUAACAACGGAUAUCUUGGUUCUC
rnacentral:misc_RNA from 1 species